GACGAACGCUGGCGGCGUGCCUAAUACAUGCAAGUCGAGCGGACUUGAUGGAGUGCUUGCACUCCUGANNNUUAGCGGCGGACGGGUGAGUAACACGUAGGCAACCUGCCCUCAAGACUGGGAUAACUACCGGAAACGGUAGCUAAUACCGGAUAAUUUAUUACAUAGCAUUAUGUGAUAAUGAAAGACGGAGCAAUCUGUCACUUGGGGAUGGGCCUGCGGCGCAUUAGCUAGUUGGUGGGGUAACGGCCCACCAAGGCGACGAUGCGUAGCCGACCUGAGAGGGUGAACGGCCACACUGGGACUGAGACACGGCCCAGACUCCUACGGGAGGCAGCAGUAGGGAAUCUUCCGCAAUGGGCGAAAGCCUGACGGAGCAACGCCGCGUGAGUGAUGAAGGUNUUCGGAUCGUAAAGCUCUGUUGCCAAGGAAGAACGUCUCAUAGAGUANNAGUAACUGCUAUGAGAGUGACGGUACUUGAGAAGAAAGCCCCGGCUAACUAC
rnacentral:rRNA from 1 species